rnacentral:tRNA from 1 species
UCCUUGUUAGUAUAGUGGUCAGUAUCCCCGCCUGUCACGCGGGAGACCGGGGUUCGAUUCCCCGAUGGGGAG